GGACUACCAGGGUUUCUAAUCCUUCUCAUUACCCUAGGCUUCGUACCUCAACGUCAGUUCUUACAUAGAAAGCUGCCUUCGCCGUUACCCGUCCCUUUAGUAUAAUAAAAUUUAAACUCUCCUCUAAAAAUUCGGACUUUCUUAUAUAAAACUCUAGAAAAUUAGUUCCUUUAUUAGGCUUAAUUUUCCGUCUAAGUACCCUUUAAACCUUUUAAAGAUGAAUAACACUUGUUUUAUACGUAUUACCGCGGCUGCUGGCAC
rnacentral:rRNA from 1 species